rnacentral:misc_RNA from 1 species
GGAAGGAAAAGUCGUAACAAGGUUUCCGUAGGUGAACCUGCGGAAGGAUCAAUAUUGUAUAACCGAGGUGCGAGGGCUGUCGCUGACCCGAAAGGUCGUGCACGCCCGAGUGCCCUCACACACAUCCAUCUCACCCCUAUGUGCACCACCGCGUGGGUCCCCCUUUGGCUUGUUCGGAGGGGGGCUUACGUUUUCACACAAACUUUGUAUGCAGUGUAGAAUGUAUUUUUUGUUUUUGCGAUCACGCAAUCAAUACAACUUUCAACAACGGAUCUCUUGGCUCUC